GACGAACGCUGGCGGCGUGCUUAACACAUGCAAGUCGAACGAAGUGGCGAACGGGUGAGUAACGCGUAAUCAACCUGCCCUUCAGCGGGGGACAACAGUUGGAAACGACUGCUCAUACCGCAUCCGGAAGGAGGGGAUUGCGUCUGUUGGGCUAGUGGGAGGGGUACCGGCCCACCAAGGCGAUGAUCAGUAGCCGGUCUGAGAGGAUGAACGGCCACAUUGGGACUGAGACACGGCCCAGACUCCUACGGGAGGCAGCGGUGGGGAAUCUUCCGCAAUGGACGAAAGGCUGACGGAGCAACGCCGCGUGAGUGAUGACGGCCUUCGGGUUGUAAAGCUCUGUUAAUCGGGACGCGGUACCGGAAGAGAAAGCCACGGCGAACUACGUGCCAGCACCGCGGUAAUAC
rnacentral:rRNA from 1 species